UACGAAGGGGGCUAGCGUUGUUCGGAAUUACUGGGCGUAAAGCGCACGUAGGCGGACUACUAAGUCAGGGGUGAAAUCCCGGGGCUCAACCCCGGAACUGCCUUUGAUACUGAUAGUCUCGAGUCCGGAAGAGGUGAGUGGAAUUCCGAGUGUAGAGGUGAAAUUCGUAGAUAUUCGGAGGAACACCAGUGGCGAAGGCGGCUCACUGGUCCGGUACUGACGCUGAGGUGCGAAAGCGUGGGGAGCAAACAGGG
rnacentral:rRNA from 1 species